rnacentral:misc_RNA from 1 species
GAUGAAGAACGCAGCGAAAUGCGAUAAGUAAUGUGAAUUGCAGAAUUCAGUGAAUCAUCGAAUCUUUGAACGCACAUUGCGCCCCUUGGUAUUCCGAGGGGCAUGCCUGUUCGAGCGUCAUUAUAACCCCUCAAGCUCAGCUUGGUGUUGGGGCCUGCCGCACGGGCAGCCCUUAAAAUCAGUGGCGGUGCCAUCUGGCUCUAAGCGUAGUAAUUCUUCUCGCUAUAGAGUCCCGGUGGAUGCUUGCCAUUAACCCCCAAUUUUCUAUGGUUGACCUCGGAUCAGGUAGGGAUACCCGCUGAACUUAAGCAUAUCAAUAAGCGGA